UUGGCCCUGUUAAUGGAAGACAUGCUUACAUACCUUUCCAUAGGAUUAAUGAGAAACAGAAUAAGGUUUAACUGACAGAAUGUGGGCAAGACUACUAUGUUCAACCAAUCAGCCAAGUUUUCUAAAUGCUGCAGAUAGUUUUGAAGAUGAUCAUGAAGAAAAUGAAACAGAAAUCCAUGCUGAAAAUGGGGAAAGCGAACCAAACGGCUAUAAUGGUCAAAGCUUAAUAAGCUGAGAGAGACUGCCUCUAGUCUAGACAGAUCACAAAAAGUGUUGAAUUUCAUUUUCGUUUGAACAACAUGCUAAAUAAUGUGUCAUAAGGUUUUCAAAUGAAUAUACUGUAGUCUGUAUCAUUAGAAUCCUCUUUUAAGAUUAUCAUUUUCUAUGGUUUUCUAUUUUA